AACGAACGCUGGCGGCGUGCUUAACACAUGCAAGUCGAGCGUGAAAGUCCCUUCGGGGGCGAGUAAAGCGGCGGACGGGUGAGUAACGCGUGGGAAACCUGCCUUAUACAAAGGAAUAGCCUCGGGAAACUGGGAUUAAUGCCUUAUGACACUUCACUAACACAUGUUAGAGAAGUCAAAGCUCCGGCGGUAUAAGAUGGUCCCGCGUCCCAUUAGCUAGUUGGUGAGAUAAAAGACUCACCAAGGCGACGAUGGGUAGCCGGCCUUAGCGGGUGAACGGCCACACUGGAACUGAGACACGGUCCAGACUCCUACGGGAGGCAG
rnacentral:rRNA from 1 species